CAGCCGCCGCGGGAAUACGUAGGUGGCAAGCGUUGUCCGGAAUUAUUGGGCGUAAAGGGCUCGCAGGCGGUUUCUUAAGUCUGAUGUGAAAGCCCCCGGCUCAACCGGGGAGGGUCAUUGGAAACUGGGAAACUUGAGUGCAGAAGAGGAGAGUGGAAUUCUACGUGUGGCGGUGAAAUGCGUAGAGAUGUGGAGGAACACCAGUGGCGAAGGCGACUCUCUGGUCUGUAACUGACGCUGAGGAGCGAAAGCGUGGGGAGCGAACAGGAUUAGAUACCCCCGUAGUCCCUGUCUCUUAUAA
rnacentral:rRNA from 1 species